UACGAAGGUGGCAAGCGUUACUCGGAAUUACUAGGCGUAAAGGGCAGGUAGGUGGUUUGGUUAGUCUGUUGUGAAAGCUCCUUGCUUAACGGGGAGAGGUCAACAGAUACUGCCAGGCUUGAGUAUGGGAGAGGGUACUGGAAUUCCCGGUGUAGCGGUGAAAUGCGUUGAUAUCCUAAGGAACACCGGUGGCGAAGGCGGCGACCUGGGUCGAUACUGACGCUGAGGUGCGAAAGCGUGGGGAGCAAACAGG
rnacentral:rRNA from 1 species